AAAGAAACUACCAAGGAUUCCCCUAGUAACGGCGAGUGANGCGGGAACAGCUCAAAUUUUAAAUCUGGCUGCUUCGCAGUCCGAGUUGUAAUUUGAAGGCGUCUGUCGCAUGUGAGACGAUGGCACAAGUCCUCUGGAACGUGGCAUCGUAGAGGGUGAGAAUCCCGUCUCUGGUCGUUGUCUUGCAGGCACACGGCAGGCGAUCCGAAGAGUCGAGUUGUUUGGGAUUGCAGCUCCAAAUGGGUGGUAAACUCCAUCUAAGGCUAAAUAUUGGCGAGAGACCGAUAGCGAACAAGUACCGUGAGGGAAAGAUGAAAAGAACUUUGAAAAGAGAGUAAAACAGUACGUGAAAUUGUUGAAAGGGAAACGCUUGAAGUCAGUCGUGCCGGCGGGGAUUCAGCGAACUUCGCGGAGUGAGCGUAUUUCCUCGCAUGGCAGGUCAGCGUCAGUUUUGCGCGUCGUGAAAGGGCUCGGGUAAGGUGACUCUCUUCGGGGAGUGUUAUAGGCCUGAGCAGAUGCGAUGCGCGGGACUGAGGAUUGCAGCGGACACCCUUCGGGGCGCGGCGACCGAUCCCUGCUCUGUCACCUUCGUCCGAUAGCGUGCUAACGGUCGGGGGAGCGGCGGUUGCACCGGGUUGGCAAGCCGGCGGCUNCGCNAAGGAUGCUGGCGUAAUGGCUUUAAACGACCCGUCUUG
rnacentral:rRNA from 1 species